AUCGGGAGUGAUGGAAGAAGGAGGAGGCAGCAGUGAAUCACUUAUAAAUAACUUUGAAGCAGGACCCGGAGCCUAAAUUCCAGGAGGAUAAUGGUCAUCCACAGCCAAGAAGGAAAGACCUGAGACAUGGAAUCAGCGAUUGCAGCCCUUCAAUGUGAGUCAGCAGGCCCCAAGAAAGGAGAAUGCCUGCCACCUGGCCUUUAUUUGUCUGCAGCCACUCCAGCCGCUCCCUGUGACAAAAAGGGAAUCAAACAUAGAGGCUCAGGAAGAACAAGAGUUAUUUUCACUUUAGCUUCUUGGGAAUGUGUUUCAGCAAGUGGAAAUAGGAGAACUGGUGAUUUGAUAUCCAACCCAGAGUAAGUUCCCAAAUUGUUUCUCCUUCUUCAGCUCUCUCCCCGUAGUCCUGAGUUUUACCGCGUUGUUUUCACAUCUGUGCUCUGAAGCAUGCAUGUGAGAGAAAGAGCAGGACGUUCAGCACACCCUGAAUGUACACUAGAUCGACAAUAUCCUUUCCAGUUUUGCUGCUCAAAGCUCAUCACUGAAAAUGUUUUUCCCAGUUAUUUCUGGAACUAACACAAUUGUAGUGUUGGCACACACAGAUCACAAACCCAAAAAGAAACUCAGUAGUACUAAAAAGAUACAUUGAUUCUGAGUUUCUCACAUUCCUUGCAUUGCCUCUGAUUUACAUAUGAGUAAUUGUAGAUUUCAAAUGAGUGAAAGCACCCACCUCCACUUUGGCAGCCCAGAUUGUUUUCAGCAGGAGAACUCAGUAGUAUGUACAUACACUCAAAAGCUCUCAUAUCGCACUCUGCAACUUCCUCAUGUUUGAGAACCAUACAAAGUAGUCCUUGGUUUGCAAAAUUUCUUUCAUAAAUAUUAAAUGUUUGCUAUCCUCCAGAUAUGUUGUUAGAAAUUUACCUAAGACAUAGUCCCACAGUCCUUUUAGUAGGAGGGUGGUUCUGAAUAUA
rnacentral:lncRNA from 1 species